rnacentral:rRNA from 1 species
CCUACGGGGGGCUGCAGUGGGGAAUAUUGGACAAUGGGGGCAACCCUGAUCCAGCCAUGCCGCGUGUGUGAAGAAGGCCCUCGGGUUGUAAAGCACUUUCAGUGAGGAAGAACGCCUGGUGGUUAAUACCCAUCAGGAAAGACAUCACUCACAGAAGAAGCACCGGCUAACUCCGUGCCAGCAGCCGCGGUAAUACGGAGGGUGCGAGCGUUAAUCGGAAUUACUGGGCGUAAAGCGCGCGUAGGUGGCUUGAUAAGCCGGUUGUGAAAGCCCCGGGCUCAACCUGGGAACGGCAUCCGGAACUGUCAAGCUAGAGUGCUGGAGAGGAAGGUAGAAUUCCCGGUGUAGCGGUGAAAUGCGUAGAGAUCGGGAGGAAUACAGUGGCGAAGGCGGCCUUCUGGACUGACACUGACACUGAGGUGCGAAAGCGUGGGUAGCAAACAGGAUUAGAUACCCCGGUAGUC